ACACAAGUCUCGUAUUCUCUCGUUCUGACAUCAGGGCGUUAUUUACGCAUUAUUAGCUACCAGUGUAACUUAUAAAAGGUCACAUUAAUAUACACACGAUGGCAUUACCUGAAUCCCAAAUACCACCCGACGCCCAGCAUUAUUUGGUGUGUGGCACUGAAGACUGUGAGAAGAACUGCCAGUUUUACUGCAAUGACUGUCACAUACCAAUGUGUGAACAAUGCCGAGAUGAACAUCAGAAGAAUAAGAAAACCAAGAACCACGAAGUUGUCCCUUAUAAACAACGUAAACGACCGCUUCCUGUGGAGAAAUGCAAAAUCCAUCCCACAAGAAACAUUGAACUUCUCUGUGAGGAAUGCCAGAUUCCCAUUUGUCCCAAAUGUGCAACCACAAAAGAACACCGCGGUCAUGUGUUUACAGACCUAGAAACAGUCUUUGCUGAAAAAUGUUCACUUUGUCACGUAGAAAUUACCAAAAUUCGAAGCUAUUUUGAGCCUACUUCUCAAGAUUUGAAAAAGGAAAUUGCUGGAGAUGUCACAGAAAUAAAGAAGAUUAUGGACGACAUAAGAACGUCCUUGAAAGCUGAAGCUGAGGCCGUAAAAAAUCUGGUAGACACAGUCACAUCAGAUAAAAUAAAACAAGUCGACAAAAUAGAGCAGUCAUUAUUACAAACAUUAAAUGGCCAAAACCAAAAAAUAGAUUAUUACAUCAACUAUCUCAAUGGUUUAGUCGAAACAUUUUAUGGUUACCUAUCUCCUUCAAACAUAGAACAAUUGAAAUUUUUUCUCGAAUCAGAAAACUUCAUUAUACAACCCAUACCAGAGACAUCCAAACCAGUCCCACCUGUAUUUACUGCUGGUCAAUACAGCAAGGAAGAUGUUGCCAAAUUACUGGGUAGAAUAACUGUUCCCAACACUAGACCAGAGAACAGAAAAAUAAAGCCCAUGGAGACUGCCUCUACACAGAUGAAACCUACAGGGAAACAGAGAAAACAAGACAGAGAGAAAUCUGACGUGAAACAAACACUGUCUCUGUCUUCUUCUGUCACCAAGGUCAGGGAGUACACAGUACCAGGUGUUGAUUGUGUAUAUCAUAUAUCACUGGGUAAAUCAGGCAGACUCUGUGUCAGUGAUUUAUUUGGUAACCUUGUCCAAACAGAUCUACAGGGGAAUCAGCUACAGAAGAUACAAACCAGUUGUGGAUCUGAAAUCUACCACACAGUCACACAGGACGGGGAUCUGAUCUAUACAAACAUACAAAACAAUGUCAUCAAUAGGAUAACACCGGAUAAUACAAUCACUGAAUUCAUUAAAACAGGAAACUGGAUACCACUCAGUAUACACUCCUCGCACAUCAACGGGGACAUACUGGUGGGGAUGAGGAAGGAUAGAGAGCCCUCUAAAGUCACCAGGUAUAACAAGACAGGGACAGAAUUACAGAACAUACAGAGAGACAACAAAGGACAGACACUGUAUGGUAAACCACACUAUAUCACAGAAAACAUCAAUGGUGAUGUCUGUGUAUCAGACUAUAACAAACAUGCUGUAGUGGGUGGUGGUGGAUAAAUCAGGACAACACAGGUUCUCCUACACAGGUCAGGGGUCAGAGUUUUAUCCCUAUGGAAUAUGUACUGAUGUACUCGGUCACACCCUGGUGUGUGAUACUAAAAGAAACACAGUUCAUCUCCUGGACCAGGACGGUCAGUUCUUGUCUCUACUACUAACACCACAACAAGGGGUAGAACAUCCCCGUAGUGUGUGUGUGGAUGAUGAGAACAAUUUCUGUGUGGGACAACGUAACACAAACACAGUGACAGUGUACAAGUAUCUACAGUGAACAUUUUAUGUCCAUACAUCAAUUAUGUACAGUGUGUAUGUUGUGAGACAAUGUACAUAUUGUAACAACAACACAGUUGUAGUGUAUAUGAUUACUGGUAAAUAGUACAUAUACAUGGAUACCAUACAUCACUGCUUGAAUCUUAAUUCUUCACAAUUAUGGAUACCCAGAUAGAGGUGUCAAAAAGAAAUUGUAGAAAAUUUAUAUAAAACAUUAUCUAAAAAAU
rnacentral:sRNA from 1 species